GUAACGGAAAGUAGAUAAGGCCUUCACGUUAAUUUCCCGAGCAAAAUUUCAAAUGGCAUCUUUGAAAAAAAAAUGGAAGCCGAGGCCGAAUGAUGAAGCUUCGUAAUCCAGUUUCCGCAACGCCAACAUGGCGGAUCGAGGUUCAUCCAGUUGACUCGGCCCUCUUCCGAUUCCGGAUUGGCAGGUACUCCGCACCGGUAUCGUUGAAAAAUAUGAUUAAAGACCCUCCCGCUCCAUCAAUGUCAUGCACAAAUAAUUAUUUUUUCUAUGUAAGUAAAAUAUUUUAUUAGUAGUUUUUUUUUGUUAUGCAUCAUUUAUUUAAACUAUUUAUUUUUAUUAUUUUUAUAUAAUGUGUGCUCUUGAAGUUUGUGCUCAAGUUUGUAGAAAGAUGAAUUACUUGCCCUUUUACAAAAACUAAAUUUUUUUGUUGAAUGAUUAUAUAUUGUGAACGUAGAUAAAUUAAUUAUAUGUAGGUAACGUUGAAAUUGA